CCCUGCCAUUUGUACACACCGCCCGUCGCACCUACCGAUUGGAUGGUCCGGUGAAGGCUCGGGAUUGUGCCUGUCACCUUUGUUGGAGAUGGGAACAAGAACCUGUCUGAACCUUAUCAUCUAGAGGAAGGUGA
rnacentral:rRNA from 1 species